GAGAAAGGGAGAGAACAAGGACUUGAAGAUUAGUAGGUUGCCUCGAUAUGACCGUAAUCAACUGAAUAGUAGAUUUCCUACGUUUUUGAAGGAAAUCAAGCAUGAUGUGUUCUUGGCUUCUGAGAAGCACAGUUGGCACCGACCUAUUAGUCUAACUGAGACUCAGAGUUUAUUAAAGUUAAACAAUUCCAAUGGAACACGCAUAAAAAUUGUAGUUAGUAAUACAAGUAUGGGAUAUUACAAAGAUAAAGAAGUCUAUGAUAAGUAUAUUGAUCUAAGUGGAAUUUCUGAGCUUUCAAAUAUCAGAAAAGACCGAACAGGGAUUGAAAUUGGAGCAGCAGUGACAAUAUCUAAAGCUAUUGAAGCACUGAAGGAAGAUAUCAGAAGUGAGUUUCUCUCAGAUUAUGUAAUGAUACUUGAAAAGAUUGCUGAUCAUAUGAGCAAAGUUGCCUCUGGAUUUAUCCGGAACACAGCCAGUGUAGGUGGCAAUUUAGUCAUGGCACAAAGGAAUAAUUUUCCCUCGGACAUUGCUGUAAUACUUCUUGCUGUAGAUGCAAUGGUUCACAUUAUGACUGGUGCACAAUUGGAGUGGUUGACACUGGAAGAAUUUCUGGCAAGACCAGCCUUAGGUUUGGAAAGUGUGCUUUUAAGCAUUAAAAUUCCUAGUUUAGAACACAAUCAAAGUGAAUCAUCAAAACCAAGAAGUAGCUUCCUCUUCGAAACAUACCGAGCUUCUCCAAGGCCCCUUGGAAAUGCUCUUCCCUACUUAAAUGCUGCUUUCCUGGUUAAGGUGUCUCCCUGCAAGGAUUCUGGUGGAACUGUGAUAGAUACUUGUAGGCUGUCUUUUGGUGUUUACGGGAGUAAGCAUGCAAUCAGAGCAAAAAAAGUUGAAGAACUUUUAGGUGGAAAACUUUUAAGUUCUAGCGCUCUGUACGAUGCUGUCAACUUGAUUACAGCCACUAUUGUAUGUCAAGAUGAUAACGCAAUCACAGCUUAUCGUUCAAGUUUGGCUGCUGGUUUUAUUUUUCAGUUCUUUAACCCUCUUAUUGACAGUCCUGAAAGAAUAAGCAAUAGUUAUUUGAACGGAAACAAUAAUGAUCCUUUUGCUGAGGAUCUUGAAUUAAAAGUCAGUGAGAAGAAGGUACCUCGUGACAAAAUUCCAACUUUACUAACAUCUGGCAAGCAAGUCCUUGAAGCAGGCUGUGAGUAUCAUCCUGUUGGUGAGCCAAUCGUGAAAUCUGGAGCUGCACUACAAGCUUCAGGUGUGUUUUGUAUCAUUUAAGUUUUAAGUUGAUUUACUGACUGCUGUCUUUUCUUUGCAUUUCUAUCAACGUUUCAGAGUAGUAAACUAAAAUAUUUACAUACAAAGUUGGGACCUUUUUGUAUUAAAGAAAUAACUGUUCUCCAUGCUCUGGGUUUUGAUGAAUUGUGUAUCCAUAUUUUGCAUCUUAUAGUCUCUGGGUACCUUGUAACUAUUGUCGAGAUAACUAUGCUAAAAGUUCCAAUUUCCAGGUCAUAAAAACGUGUUCCAAAUGCUUUCGGUUAUGAUGAAUGCUGCAUCCAUAUUCUGCAUCUUAAAGUCUCUGGUUUCCUUCUAACUAUGCUCAAAAUUUCACUUUCAUGGUCACGGACUAGUUUUUAUGUGUCUUAUUUUAUCCUGUUUCGAUGCCUGUGAAUUAUGACUUUUCAUGUUUAGUUGUUUAAAUUUAUGUUCAGUAACACAAGUACAUAUUUGUGAAUAAUCACUUAUAGGUGAGGCUGUGUUUGUGGAUGACAUUCCAUCACCAUCAAAUUGCUUACAUGGAGCAUACAUUUAUAGUGCUAAACCUUUAGCAAGGAUAAGGAGUAUAAAACUCACGCCUGAGUUGCAACUGGAUGGAGUAAGGGAUAUCAUUUCAAGUAAUGACAUUCCCAAUGGUGGGGAAAACAUUGGAUCUAAGACUAUAUUUGGGAUCGAACCUCUAUUUGCAGAAGAAAAAGCCAGAUGUGUUGGUGAUCGCCUUGCCUUUGUUGUGAGUUCUUAAUCCCUCAUUGUGAUCCAACAAUGUAUAAGCUUAUUUUUCCUUUCUUUGGAGAUUGAUAUGAUAAUACCACCAUUUUAGUCACUGAAUGGCUUCUUCAGGUUGCAGAUACUCAGAAAGUUGCAGAUAUGGCUGCAAACUCGGCUGUUGUUGAUUAUGAUACUGAAAAUCUUGAGCCACCUAUUCUAUCCGUUGAAGAUGCUGUUCAAAGAUCCAGCUUUUUUGAAGUUCCUCCAUUUCUCGAUCCAAAACAUGUUGGUGAUAUAUCAAAAGGAAUGGCUGAAGCAGAUCACAAGAUUCUUUCUGCUGAGGUACAUUGCUAUAUGUUUAUUUCUUUUAUUUGUUUUCCCUCAUUCUCUCAUUUCACAACUUUGUGCGCCGUGGUUUCAAUAAAAUGUUUAAGUUUGCUCCUGAAUGUUUAAAUGGUUAUGCUGAAAAAACAUUCAUUGUUAUCCAUCUUAUUUGAUGUGAAAUACAGAUGAAACUUGGGUCUCAAUACUAUUUCUAUAUGGAGACACAAACUGCACUUGCUGUUCCAGAUGAAGACAAUUGCAUUACAGUUUACUCCUCAAGUCAAUGCCCUGAAUCUAUUCAUUCUACUAUAGCAAGAUGCCUAGGAAUUCCUGAAAAUAAUGUUCGUGUAAUUACGAGAAGGGUUGGGGGUGGUUUUGGUGGAAAGGCCAUGAAGUCCAUACCUGUAAGUAUUGAGUUAUGUUUUAAUAUUUUGAAAAUCUUAUUCAUUACUACAUCUCUUUCACUUUUUUUCAUUAUAAUUUACCAAUAAAUAUUGUAGAGUGUAAACAUGAAGCUUCAAACUUCUGUCGUUUGGAGAAGUCACCAACAAUUUUCCUUAGAAAUAUACUAUGUGCUCUUGUUGAAUUUUCUGAAACAGUACAAAAUAUUUACCCAGUGGAUUAUGAAUAAAAUCUUGUGUCAUUUGUAACAUCAUCUUUCAAAAUAUCCAACUUUGAUGCUUCUUUCAAUGUGGCUAUAUCCAUUGUAUGUUGUAUGAUAUAACUGUUAACGAACGAUUAGAAUAAAAUGUCUUUGUACUUCUCUGAUUCUAUUGUACGAUUGCAGAAAAGAUUCACCAAUUAAGAAGUUAAAUAUGAAAAUUAUACGUGCAUGCAUGUGUGUGUAUAUUACUAACGAUUAGAUUUUGCAGGUUGCCGCAACAUGUGCACUGGCAGCACAUAAAUUACAGCGUCCAGUUAGGAUAUAUCUAAAUCGAAAGAUAGAUAUGAUAAUGGCUGGAGGAAGGCAUCCUAUGAAGAUAACUUACAGUGUUGGAUUCAGGAAUGAUGGUAAGAUUACAGCAUUGGAACUUCAGAUUUUGGUCAAUGCUGGGAUCUAUGUGGAUGUAAGUGCAAUUAUGCCACAUAAUUUAGUUUUUGCACUUAAAAAGUACGAUUGGGGUGCACUAGCUUUUGAUAUAAAGGUAUGCAGAACAAAUCAUCCUAGUAGAUCUGCUAUGAGGGGUCCUGGGGAGGUGCAGGGAUCAUUUAUUGCUGAAGCUAUUUUAGAAAAUGUUGCAGUUACACUUUCAAUGGAUGUAGAUUCUGUCAGAAGCAUUAAUCUUCACACGCACAAAAGCCUUCAGUCGUUCUAUGAGAAGUCUAGUGGUGAACCUUAUGAGUAUACCUUGCCUUCAAUAUGGAGUAAGUUGGCUGUUUCUUCAAACUAUGAUCAGAGAACCAAAAUGGUGAAAGAGUUUAACAGGAUUAACACUUGGAAGAAAAGGGGAAUUUCUCGAGUACCAGUUGUGAUUCAACUGACUCUGAGACCAACCCCUGGAAAAGUAAGUAUUUUUUCAGACGGGUCUGUGGUGGUUGAAGUUGGAGGAAUUGAAUUAGGUCAAGGUCUUUGGACAAAGGUGAAACAGAUGGCUGCAUAUGGUCUCAGUGCUAUUCAAUGUGAAGGAACUGAAGGUCUCUUUGAUAAAGUACGGGUUGUACAAUCUGAUAGUGUGAGCCUGAUUCAAGGAGGCUUCACUGCUGGGAGCACUACAUCAGAGUCAAGUUGCGAAGCAGUUAGGAUUAGCUGCAACAUCUUGGUCGAGAGACUAAAGCCUCUUAAAGAAGAACUGCAGGAGAAAAUGGGCUCUAUCAACUGGGAUACCCUUAUUAUUCAGGUAGCUACUAUAAAUAAAGUAUAACACCUCAAUUUUGAACAUUGAUUGAUUUUCCUUUCAGUUAUCUUCACGAAUGUGGGAGGAAUUUCUCCGAAGAUAAAACCAGUUCUCUUCAUAAUCAUGUUGUAACAUGAAGCAAUUGGCAUUUUAACUAUUUUUUCUCUUUGUGAUCAUCCAUAUGGGGAGACUAUUUUAUGAUUGAAGUUCGCUAAUGACUUUUGAAGGUUUUGAAACUUUGUUUUUCUGUUCACAUUGAUGCAUGUAUAUAUUGGUAUUUGUAAUUUUGAUGUAUAGCUUCAAGUUUUUCUUGUUAAGGUCUUGGAGUAUGUAGUACGGAAAAAGGCACAUUGGCACUUAAGCAUUCUCAUAAUUUGUGAGAUCAUGGUUAACUCCUUUUAAUUAAGAGAAUUAUUCAGAGAAUUAAAUGUGGAAAUGGAGUUGAGAGAAUAUAAUUUCUUCUUAUUUUCCUAGCCCACGAGCAUAAAAUUUUAAUUACCAUGUUACUGACAAUUUAUUAACAUACAGGCAAACCUGCGAGCUGUGAACUUAUCAGCCUCUGCAUUGUAUACACCCAGUAAUGACUCCACCAGUUACCUUAAUUAUGGUGCUGCAGUAAGUGAGGUUAGUUGUCUUUUUUCCUAUGCAUAUCUCAAAUCAAAAUGGUAUUUUCUUAAGUCCACUGGUAGUCACUACUUCUCUAGAAUGUUAAGUGUUUGUGUCAUAUUUACACACAAACCAAGUUACUGAAGUAACUGAGCCAACUUAUCUCAUAUGCCAUGCUAAAUAAUGGAAAUUUUUUCUCAGGUGGAAAUUGAUCUUCUGAAUGGAGAAACCAGAUUUUUGCAAACAGAUAUUAUUUAUGAUUGUGGACAGAGUCUAAACCCUGCUGUGGAUUUAGGACAGGUAAGUUGACUACAUACUUGCUAUGCAUGCUCAGCCAUAACAAAAGGAAUAAACAGGAGUUGGGCCCAAAAAAAGUUUGUAUUAAUACAGCCUCUCACAUCAUGGCUCUCUGGGAGUGGAGAAAGGAGAAAGAAUUGGGAAACAAUUACCUAUGCUAUAAAUUAAAUUCAAUAUUCUAAGAGGGAAAAGCUAGAAUCAACUCCUGUUCACUUUGCUAAAUAGUUUUUAAGUUUGAUAUUUUGUUAACAACCAAGAUCAGAGGUUGAGGAGCCUUGUUAAGAACAAAGAGUCUUCAACUCCUUAUGCUAAAAAUAUCUUGCCAAGAACCAAUUCAACCAAGAACCUGAGAUAUUAAGUAGAGGUCCUAUAAGAUGUCUGUGGUCUCUUACAAGUUACAGUUAUUCCACUAUGAAUGUUUAUCCUUCUUAACAAAACACUCCUUUCCUGCAGAUUGAGGGAGCUUUUGUCCAGGGCUUAGGAUUUUUCAUGCUUGAAGAAUACGAAACAAAUCUCGAUGGUUUGGUGUUGCAAGACAGCACUUGGAACUAUAAAAUUCCUACUGUAGACACUAUACCUAUGCAGUUUAACAUUCAAAUCCUCAACAGUGGGCACCACCAGCAUCGUGUUCUCUCUUCAAAAGGUAUGACAGAAAAACCUGUUCAUGCAUUGAUCUUAUUUAUUUUUCCUCAUGAAUGCAAGUCAGUCAUACAUGAAAAGGGGAGUUUUGUGAUUCUGUCAUUGAUUCAUUAUUCUAGCAGUUACAUUCCAAAAUCUAGUGAUGAAGACAGAAAAAAUGUGUUAACCAUAUAUUUUGUAGUGCAAACUUACUAGUUAAAUAGCAGUAGUUUGAAUACAGAUUCAUGUAACACCUCUAUAGAAUAUAUUGUAAAAAGUAAAAAGUUUGGUAUCAAGCAUAAGGAUUGAAGUGGAUGAAAGAAGUAAUAUUGAGUUCAAUUUCAUCUGCAUAUAGUUUGGAUGUUGCAGCCCAUGUUUUAUUUUAGACUGUUAAUAAAAUUGAGAAAGCUUCAGUGUUAAAAAAUGAAAUUUGUUGGUGCAGCUUCUGGAGAGCCGCCACUGCUUCUAGCAGCCUCCAUUCACUGUGCCACAAGAGCAGCAGUGAAAGAAGCAAGAACACAGCUUCUUUCAUGGAGCAACCAAGAUGGAGAAGAUUCAACAUUUCAGUUGGAGGUCCCUGCAACCAUGCCUGUGGUGAAAGAACUCUGUGGACUUCACACUGUACAAGCAUACUUGAAAUGGAAAAUGAGCAACAAGUAAAAAGGUUAACUAGGUCUGCAAUAAUCUUGCUCACUUGUGACAGUCACAGGUUUGAAGGAUUUCUUCCCAUGAAUUGUUAGAUAAUAAAUUAAUUGAUUGGAAAUAAUAAAAAAUAAAAUGUAUUUCUAUUUGAAAGCAAUCAUAUUUAAUUAAAAAGUAUAACAAAUAUGUCUAACAAUAAAAAUAUAAAAUUUGAAAAAAAAAAUAACUUUACCAUGUUUAGAAAUUUUUAUUUUUAUUUGUCAAAAUAAAUUCAGACACAGAGCUUUGGGAAAGUUUUAAAACAAACCAUAUUUUUAAACUAAAAAAUAAAACAUGAAUAUUUAAAUAAAAAUAUAAGUUCUAUCACAUAAACUUCAAUUGGUUUUUUAUAUGAGAUUUUUAUUUACAUUUAACUUUAGUUUUUUAAAAAUAUAUGUUUUUUAACUCUUAUAAAAUAAAUGAGUUUUGAUUUUUGUUUUUAUAUUUUUUUAUUCUUCAUCUUAUAAAAUUGUAACUAAGUAAUUUUAAUCUUUAAUACUCAUAUAAAGGAUAAAUAAAUAAGAUAUUUAAAAAUAAAUAAAUUUUAUAUACAGAUAUUAAAUCAUUGUAAUAUAUCACAUUAAUGCUUGAGACCACUUAAAAUGUUCACUUGAACUUUUGUUAGAUACAUAAUUAAUUAAUAAAUGUUAUAUAAAACUAAACAUAAAAAAAAGGCAUUUCAAAUUUGAAAAAUUACUAAAUACCAAGAAAAAUACCCGUAUUGAAAUCAAAACACACACUCGUCUCAUGACUAAUAUUAUAUUUAAGUUUUUUUUAAUUUCAUAUUUUUCGAGUGAGUUUUUGUCAUUUAAUUUUUUUUAUAAAACUAAUAUCUUGUUUUAUCAUUUUACUUACUUAUCUUGUCUCUAUUAUUAAGAAAUGUGAAAUUUUAUAAUUAAUAUAACAAUUAAUAAAAAAUAAUAAGUGAUUUUUAUUACUUUCUUUAAAGAUAUGAUAUUGGUGAAGACGAUUACUUCAUCAUAAUGUAAGUGUAGUAGAGAAACAUUAUAAACUUAUUAUUUGACAUGUUUUCAGUAAUAAAAAUCACUUUUCGUUUUUCAUUAACUAUAAUGUCAUCUUAUCUUAAAAUUUUACAAUUUUUAAUACAUUAAAACAACUUAUAUGAUAAUAAUCACAUUAUUUAAUUAAUAAAAAAACAUAACUAUCUCAACUGAAAAAUAUAAUAAUUUUAAAUAUGUAAUAAAAUAAAAUAUUUUAAUAUAUACUCAAUUAAAAAUAAUCAAAUUUACAAUAAACAAAAAUCUUAAUUUUAAUAUCGAUCAAUUUUUAAAUUAAUCAAUUAUUUAAUCAUAUUAAAUAAAUAAAUAAAUAAAUAAAAUAAUUAACAAUUGAUGUUGACUUAUACACACUAGAAAAAUAUUAAUGAUUUAUAUUAAUGUUAGAUAAAAUCAGAAAUAAAAUUAAUGAUAAUCAUGGUAACCUAUGGUUAACAAACGUGCUGCUAAUUAAUGAUAACUAUUUAUUGAUAUUAAAUAGUUUAAUGUAGAAAAUAAAAAGCAUUAAUUAUAAUAAUAAUAAAAAUUUAAUGUUUAAUUAAAUAAUAAAUGUAGAUAAUAAAAUUAGCUAUUUAAAAAAGAUUUAAAUAAAUUUUAAAUACUUUAUAAAUUUGGAUAUUUUGAAUUAAAUUCAAUUACAAAUUUGUUAAUGCUUAAAAUAUUUUUGUAAGUAAAUAGUCCGUCCAAUGUAAUAAUUAUAUUGAUAUAUUUCAUUUAGUAUAUUAAAAUAAAAUAAAUUAAAAACUGUGAUAAUACAUAAACUUUACAAUUUUAUUAAUUUUAUUUGAAUUCGGUCAAGUAACCUUGUACACUCCUUUUAAAUGGUGUGUCGGAUACUUGUAGUGAACUGUUCAAUUUAAAAAUAUUUGUUAAAUUUCUAACAAUUUUAUUAUGAUUCUAACCUAAUUUUAAAAAGAAUUAAAAAUUCAAACUUUAUUGUAUAAAUUAUUAUUAUGAUUAUAAAAAUUCACUUGUUUGAUUAUCACAUCUGUUUAAUAAAGGAGAAAAUUAACGAGUUAAUAAAUGUUAAGAUGAAAUAUAUCAAUAAUUAUUAUACUGAUUAUUUAUCUAUUUUUUUAUUUUAAUCUGAGUAUCAUGUUGUUUAAGUUUUUUUUUUAGGAUGAUAUAAAUAUUGUUUUCGUUUUUUCAUCUCUAAUUCGAAGAUCAACUUCUGUCAUCAUUUCUAUAUUUUUCAAAUUUUUUCGCCAAAAAAUCUGCUUUUUUUUAAAACGAGUUAACUCACAAGUUGGAAAAAAAAUAGGAUUAACUUUUUUUACCAAAUAAAUUUUUUAAAUUAAAUAUCUUGUAAAUUAAUUUUUUUAAUAGAAACAUUUAAUAUUAUCUUUAUCGGUGUCAGUGAGUUUUUUUAAAAUUGAAACACGUGUUACACUGUUUACAAUGUUGAGUAAUAGUGUAAUACAUAUAAAAAUAUUUCACUUAAACAUUAAAUAUAAUAACAUAAACAAAAAUAUUUGUUUUAUGAACUUAAUUUUAUAAUGAUUAUUAAAAGUAAAAGGAUAAUGUCAUGAAUUAGGCAAUAAAAUAAUAUUCAAUUAUAUAUAAUGAUUAAUGAUAAAUAUGAAUAGUGGUUGGUCUUUAGGCUAAUCAACUUAAUUAGAAUUUAGUAUCUUAAAAUCUAUAUUUGAUUAUUUAAUCUAUCAUAUAUAAACUAUUCGGAUUACAACACACUUUAAAUAAUUAUUUUCAUAAUAAACUAUAAUUUUAUAUAAUUUAUUACAAAAUUAAAAAAAAUAUUAUAUCAAAAGUAAAAUUUAAAAUUACUUUUGACUUAAAUUAAAAAAACUUUACUAAGAUAAUAGCAUCUUUGUCAUGUCGCAUAGGAAGAAGGUUCAAUAAUUCAGAAUUGAUCCUUCUUAUCCAGAAAACCAGAUUUUAUUCCUUCAAAAGCCUAUUGAUAUAAUUUUAUUCAUUUAUUUCUAAAAGAUAUUUGUAAACUCAGGGUCCUCUUUGAUGAUAAUAUAGUAGUUUGAAAAAUAUAAGACUUAAUUAAAUUUUAAAUAACUUAUAAAAGCAUUUUUAAUUAACAGAAUUUAUUUUAUUAAUUGUUUUAAAUAUUUUUCUAUUCUUAUAAAAAUUUUAUGGUCUGAUAUUAUUUUCAUCUUUAGUUGAUAGUUGAUGUGAAGAAUAAAAUAUUAUGUGAUCUAUUCACAGUAUAAAAAAUACAUAAUAAACUGAAAAAUUAAUUUAAAAUAUUUAAAUUUGUGAAAUAUGAGUUUUGUUUUAAUUUCUUAAUAUUUUUAUUUUUUUCUUAUUUUUUAAUAAUAUUUUUUAUAUGAUAAAAGAUUGUUGUUAGUUGAUUUGAUGUGAUGUUAGUAGAAAAACUUUUUAUAUAAAAAAAUUAAUUAAUUAAUUUAGUAAAAAAAAUAUGAAAGAAAAUGGGACCAGAGUAUCUUUUCCAAAUGUUGUCAUGUCAGUCUCAAGCAGUUGACUAUGUUAUAAAGAGAGGUUGAUCACUACGGAAUGUUUACUCUCACAACACAACACAACUCACACACAUUGUAAUAGUUUAAGGUUCUCUUCUGUUCUGUUACUGAAAACUGAAACACGAGUUGCUGAAAUUAUGGAACUGCAGAAGACUCCAACAAGUUUGGUUUUUGGUAUUAAUGGUGAGAGGUUUGAGCUCUCCCAUGUUCAUCCGUCAACCACUUUACUAGAAUUCUUGCGUAUUCACACUCGUUUCAAGAGUGCCAAGCUUGGCUGUGGUGAAGGUACAUGCAUCUCUGUCGUUCUCUGCGUUCAACCAUUUUUUAUCUACUGAAGGUCAUGGAGUUUAUUCAUUCGUUUGCUUCAUUGCCGAAUUAGUUUUAGAGCUGUUCCCCUUCAUAGGUGUAUUUGAAUUUCCGAUCUUUUUUAUUUUUUAUUUUUGCCUUUCAAUUUCUGUAAGCUUGGUAUUUACUGUAGGGAUUCAUCUUUUCCUUUUUUUUUUGUCUGUAAGAUUAAUCUUGGACAAGUGUGAUUUUAAUGUUUCAUCUUAUUUUUCUAGUGGUCUACUCAUGAAGAUGAAGGAGAAGGUGUUGGCUUUAAGUAGUCCUAAUUAUUGUUUUCAAUCUGGUACUUGAUGUUUUGAAAUGGUUGGUUUCAGGGGGGUGUGGUGCUUGUGUAGUUUUAAUCUCCAAAUAUGAUGCUGUGCUUGAACAAGUUGAGGAUUUUACUGCAAGCUCUUGUCUCACACUACUUUGCAGCAUACAUGGGUGUUCAAUUACAACCAGUGAAGGCAUUGGGAAUACUAAAGAAGGAUUCCACCCAAUUCAUGAAAGAUUUGCAGGAUUCCAUGCCACUCAAUGUGGCUUUUGUACACCUGGAAUGUGUGUUUCCCUCUUUGGAACUCUUGUCAAUGCUGAAAAGACCGAUCGUGCAGAGCCACCAGAUGGCUUCUCGAAAGUAACUGUUAGUGAGGCUGAGAAGGCCAUCGCAGGGAAUCUUUGUCGCUGUACUGGGUACAGACCAAUUGCUGAUGUCUGCAAAAGCUUUGCAGCUGAUGUUGAUGUGGAGGAUUUGGGGUUCAACUCGUUCUGGAGAAAGGAAGAGAACAAGGAGUUAAAGAUUAGUAGGUUGCCUCGAUAUGACCGUGGUCAAUUGAGUAGUAGAUUUCCUACGUUUUUGAAGGAAAUCAAGCAUGAUGUGCUCUUGGCUUCUGAGAAGCACAGUUGGCACAGACCUACUAGUCUAACUGAGCUUCAGAGUUUAUUAAAACUAAACAAUUCCAAUGGAACACGGAUAAAAAUUG
rnacentral:lncRNA from 1 species